AACGAACGCUGGCGGCAUGCCUAACACAUGCAAGUCGAACGAGACCUCCGGGUCUAGUGGCGCACGGGUGCGUAACGCGUGGGAACCUGCCCUUAGGUUCGGAAUAACUCCCCGAAAGGGGUGCUAAUACCGGAUAAUGUCUUCGGACCAAAGAUUUAUCGCCUUUGGAUGGGCCCGCGUUGGAUUAGCUAGUUGGUAGGGUAAAAGCCUACCAAGGCGACGAUCCAUAGCUGGUCUGAGAGGAUGAUCAGCCACACUGGGACUGAGACACGGCCCAGACUCCUACGGGAGGCAGCAGUGGGGAAUAUUGGACAAUGGGCGAAAGCCUGAUCCAGCAAUGCCGCGUGAGUGAUGAAGGCCUUAGGGUUGUAAAGCUCUUUUACCCGGGAUGAUAAUGACAGUACCGGGAGAAUAAGCUCCGGCUAACUCCGU
rnacentral:rRNA from 1 species